UACGGAGGAGGCAAGCGUUAUCCGGAAUUAUUGGGCGUAAAGCGUCCGCAGGUGGCGAUUCAAGUCUGCGGUUAAAGACUGGGGCUUAACCCUGGAAAGGCCGUGGAAACUGAAACGCUAGAGUGCAGUAGGGGUAGAGGGAGUUCCCGGUGUAGCGGUGAAAUGCGUAGAGCUCGGGAAGAACAUCGGUGGCGAAAGCGCUCUGCUGGACUGCAACUGACACUCAGGGACGAAAGCUAGGGGAGCGAAUGGG
rnacentral:rRNA from 1 species